rnacentral:rRNA from 1 species
AUGGCGUUCAAGUACCAGCUCAUCCUCUGGGCCGCCCUGGUCAUCGUACUCGCCGCGGCCUCAGCCAGCGUCCAGCAGGCAUGCAUUCCAGGGCAGCAGAUCACAUACGACUCGCUUCAUGCCUGCAGCGACUACGUGGUCAGACAAACAUGUGGCUUUGAACCCUACUACGUCUCCGUCGAGACGAUGAAGAAGCGGUGUUGCGAGCAACUGUCGGGCGUCUCGUCGUACUGCCGGUGCGAGGUGGUGCGCAUCCUCAUGGAGGGGAUAGUAAAUAAGCGGGGUGAGGUCGUGGGCAGCCUCCUCCAGGAUUGGCCUAGAUGCAAGAGCUUGACGAGGGAGUACAUUGCGGGCAUCGUCGGACGGGGGGAGUGCAACUUAGAGACCAUCUUGGGCCGCCCGGAAUGCCCUACUGCCUAUCUUGGAGCGGUCGUGUAA